AGUUCCUGCAAAGGAGAUGGCCCAGGAGGGCCUGCCAAGUGAGCUCUGCCCAUCAUGUAGAAGCCACCCAAUAAACCCACCAUUCACUCAGGAGUAGCCAGAACCCCAACUUUCGCAUAAGUUAAGGUCUUAUAUGGUAGAAGCCCCAGGCUUUGGGCAGCUUUGCCUGCAGAUGCCUUGGAUUGGCAUUCCUGAGCAUAGAAGGAGUUAUUCCUAUGUCACCCUAUGGCACACAACCAUAAUCCAAGCACUUGGGAUGCUGAGGCAGGAGGAUUUGCAGAAUUUAAAGCCAGGAGGAUUUGCAGAAUUUAAAGCCAGUCUAAACUAUAUAGCAAGUCCAAGUUGCCUGGGCAACUAAUCAAGACCCUCUCUCAAAGUAAAACGUUUAAAUGGGGCUGGGAGCCAGGCAUGGUAACUAACACUGCAACCCAGUGCUCAGCAGAGGCAGGUGGAUUGUCAUGACUGCAAGGCAAGUCUGGGCUACAUAGUGAGUUCCAAGUGAGCCUGGGAUACAGAGUGAGGCACUGUCUCAACUAAACUAAACUAAACUAAACUAAACUGAAACAAAACAAAAUGCUGAGGAUGUGGCGCUGAGAUUGUAUCUUGCAUUUGGUUCCCAGCAUGACAGGGAAAAAGUGGCUUUCACUGGAAGAGGGAUAGACACAGGAUGCAUAGGACAUUGGACAUAGGUCAGAAGGGGAUCGGGGCCAUUGUUAGUGUCCCAAGAGGCAAAGGUCUUGGGGGAUGGUUCGUCACCAAAUCACAAGACACCCCAGAGGCUCCUAACCUCAUGUCCAAUCCAUUGAGGAAGAGGAUCCGGUCACCUGACUUGAGGGAGGCAUUUUCAGCCGGGCUGCCUGGAAGAGAGAAAGACAGGGUAAGCCGUCAGCCGACCACCACGUGGUGGACUUGGGUGGGAGUCUCCUCCACUCAACACCCUUGUGUGAGCCAGAUAGCCGUUCUUCAGUUCACAGGUGAGAACUGACACUCGGCACCAUCUAAAUGGUUUAGAGAGUGAGAAAGCUUGCGGCCACGUCUGACUGAGUCUGAUCCCUGAAUCCUACAAAUUCUCCUCCUACCUUCACACUGAUGAGGGGAGACCCAUCUUAACCGUGGACAGAGACACACUCUAACAGGGAGCCUGGAUCGAGGCAGGAUUGCAUAAAAGAGUGAAGGCAGGACAGAUUCGAUCCAGACCGGUCCAUGGCCUCGCAGAGUGAAGCCGAAACUCUUGUUGCCUUUAUAAACUCGAACCGUCCUGUGGGAGGAAAAAUGGAACGGGAUUGGAGGACUCCGACCCAAGCAAGAUCAGAUGUCCCCUGCUGUCACCUGCACGCCUGUCGUGCGUACCUACGAGGACCCCCAGGGCCAGUGCGACCGCCCAGCAGCGAGGUUGCCUUCCGCGGGGGUGGCUCAUCCGGACGGCGGGGAGCGGCGCUAGCGCGCGUGGACACUAAGAGGCGCUCCGGGCGCUCCUCGCUGCGGCUCCGACGCAAACGCUGUGCGCCCUGCGCCCUCCGAGCACGGCACAGCUUGCCCAGCAGACCCUGCGACACCACCUCGUCGAAGCGCGCCCGAUGCUUUUUGGGAAUAAAGAUCCUGCAAGGCAAGGAUCGACCAACCUCUGAGUCAGGCGCCGUCCCUGACUACAUUCCAAAGGCACCUCCUAGUGGCUCUUCUGUGCAUUCCUAGGGGUGACCAGGGACAUUUUCAUUCUCCCCUUCGGUGAACAGACUUGCAUUCCCAGCUUUCCUAGACCUGGUCCCCGUGAUGGCUCAGCAGGUAGAAGUACUUGCUGUCAAGCUUGAAGAACCGAGUUCGAUUCCCAGGCCCUACACAGUGGAAGGAGAGAAUUGACUAUCCUAGACUACACCGUGAUUUCUACAGCAGCCAUCCCCGAGGCACCUGCCUUACCUCCGAGGGUCCUCAUACUUCCGGUUUCCCUGCUUGCUUUCUCGGCCAGCCCUGUCCACGGCCACUUCCUUGCAAAAGUGAGGGCAAUUACUAUCUCCAAGUUUAUGGCUCUGCUCGAUACAUUCUUAUUUUUCCUUUAUUUUAUUUUAUUUUAUUUUAUUUUUUCUGAGACAGGGUUUCUCUGUGUAGCCCUGGCUGUCCUGAAACUCACUCUGUAGACCAGCCUGGCUUCAAACUCAGAAAUCAGACUGCCCUUGCCUCCCAAGUGCUGGGAUUAAAGGCGUGCGCCACCACUGCUUUGCUUCCCCUUUAAUAUUUUUAAAAGAAUAAUUGUUAUUAUUUUUGUAAGUGUGUGCAUGUGUUCCCAGUCCCCUGCAUGUGUUUGGUGAACCUCUGCCCACUUGUCCCUCCUUGAUACUGAGCUCAGCUAUGGAGGUCCUGUGGUGCUCGCCAAAGCCUGUGGGUGGUGGGAGGAGACUUAGCCUCUAUGCAAUGUCCAUCUGCUGGGAUGAAUGCUUGAGGCCUGUGCGCCUAGAAGCUCUCCAGAGCCAGAAUUUGUAGUUGCCUUGUGGGCCACAGUGAUGGAAAAGAACUUGGCACCUUGAGAAGAAAGUGUGUGUAUGUGUGUGUGUGUGUGCGCGCGUGCGUGCUCAUGUGUUCAUGCAUGCGCAUCUGUGUGUGUGUGAUACAAUCCCUUCUCCACAUAACAGCUUCAGCUAACACCUCUGUGAGCUUACUGACCCACUGCAGGAAAUUCUAAGGCACAGAGAAACCUGUAACUUUCCAGGGUGACACAACUGGCCUCUGACAGCUGGAAUCAGGGCUCAUGACACUAAUAAGAGCUUCCUGGCUGUACCCCAAGGCUCCCUUCUCUGUUCUUUAUAUCAGUAGCCAAUGGCAAGGGCAUGGUGGGGAGUCAGGAGAGAAAAGAGGAGGGGAGCGAAGGCUUGGGAUGCAGCUGGAAUGCAUCCUCCCCUGAACUGGCUCUGUAGCUCUCCCAGCCUCCACGGGUGAGGUUAAUGAAGCCCUAUGAGGCCGAAUGAACCCCCUGGUGAGACAGAAGGAGUGCAGAUCCUUCCAGAGGGCUCAUAUGAGCCCCACCCCCCGGGGCAUUCUGCUUCAGGUUGGAUACUCCAGGUGACCAGGAGGUCUCCUGAGCCUGACUCUUCCAUCUGCCUGCCUGGUCUUGGCCCUCUCCUUACCCUCCUGCCUCAAGUCCAGGCAAAGGCUCCUGAGACUGUCCACCGCAGCCAUCAGACCCAAGCUCUGCAGUGCAUCAGACCUACUUCUAACCUGGGCAGGGGUCAGAUGCCCAGUACAGCUACUUAUCCAACACCAAGAAGUCCAAGUCCUGCUUGCCAGGUGGGCACCAGACUGAGUCACAAACUGGGGAGAUGUAUGGUGUGGUGGCUAGAUCUCAGCUUGGCAUCCGGAGCUUGGGCCAGAGGCCAAGGCUGCCUGCUGAGGCAGACACCCUUCCUGGCUGGCAUGAGCCUUCCCUGCGGCUCCAUCACUGUCUGGCCCAGACACCCCAGUUCUGGCACUACUGUCUGUUAAUUAAAGCUGGCACAGUCAGAU